UGGUAUUUGCUUCAGGUCGGGGGGCUGGCUGUAAGCGAGGACUGGUUUGUCUCCCAAGAUCUGUAAGAGUGAGGGAUAGUCUUUCAGGAUAGGUUGUAGAUCUUUGAUGAUGCGCUGGAGAGGGAAUUUGUCACAAUAUGUGAGUUGGGCCCAGAAAAAAAAAAAACCACACUCCCAAAUGCUGUCUGUAUGUCGUAAAAGACGCCAUUUCCUAGACCUUGUCUCUUACAUCUGCGUGGUCUGGCUGGUUUAAUACAAUGGCAUGAGAAAAGAUCAUUUAUAGAUCAGCUUUCCUUCAUGCUGGUCUGUUAGUGCAGCAUUAAUAUUUUCAAACAAACAGGAUACAGACUUAGUUUACCGAUUUUGUGUUUGUAUUUGUAAUUUUUUUUUAAAAGUAGGGGAUAAGUAAUCUCUUUCACACAUUCCAGUAAAAUAAGAGGGAUACUGCAUCAUCUACUACAGGAAUGCCAUAAUGCAUAGCUGUGGAAAUAGAUUUUCAAGAAUUUAAGGCUUAAAAAACAUUUACAGUAACCUGUCAAACAGAAUACAGAACACAUAGUGCUUGCUUCACCAGGAUUCUGUUGUUAUAAUUGCAUAACUUAGCAACCAGGGUUGGGGGCAGGCAAGCACCUGGGACGCCAGGCUCAGCAUCCUUUUUUUGUUGCCACAAAAGGGAAAAUAGAAUGUUUGAAGUAAAAUGUUUCAGGUAUUCUAUCUGUGGAUUCAUUUUUCACUAACCUAGAAUUUUUGGACCUUUGUAGAAUCUCAUGGAACCUUGCAAACUUUCUGAGAACUAUAUUUUCCUUGAACCUCCUAGAAUGUUGUCAGCUAUGCCAUUGCACUUAUAUAAGGGGCGGGACGUCACAGUGAACUUCUGGCAGACAGGAAAACGCUCUUGAAAAAUAGUAUGGACUUUCACGGGACGCUGACACAUGGGGAAUGUUCGGCCGUCAAUGAUAAAGACCUCAAUGUCAAAUUGGACAAAAUCCAUCACAUUUUGCAACACAGGAAGCACUCUCCACUCCAGGAUCUCCAAUUCAUUCAUGAUGCAGAGCUGAAGGACCCUUUUCCAAUGUAUGGAUCGCUUUGAAGGUUCUGCUCACGCUGCCAGUCACAGCAAUUAUGCAUGCAAAUUGUUCAUCAAAGUUGUGAAAUGGGCUACAAAUGUAAUAAAAAAAAAUAAGGUAUUCAAAAGGUUUAAGAAAUGGAGGGGGUGGUGCCAAAAAUACUCCUCAGGUGGGGUGCCAUUUGGUCCAGGGCUGGCCCUGUUAGCAACUUCUAUGUUCACUAAAAAUAAAAAGCAAUAAUAUAUAAACAAGUGCAAAAACUAUGGCAUAAAGGGUAUACAUUUUGGACUUGGACAUACAUUGUCUGCUAUUAAACAGUCUACACAAAAUUAUAAUUUGAUUAGGCUAAUCAAUAUUGCAAAAGUUGAUUCCACUGCUUAUGCUGAAGAAAAUAUCUCUUAGGAAUUAAUUUAUAGGGAAAUUCCUCCUGUGCAAACCCAUACAUUCUAGCUUUAACAACAUUACACAUCUGCAAUGUCUGUCUCAGAAUCAGCAAGAAAAUAGGCUCUCUCUCUCACAACAUGUGCUAUAUAUAGCCAACAGGAGUCUGUCAUAUGUGAUUUUACUUCAGGAUACAAAGACUAUGGUUUCAGAGUGGUAGCCAUGUUAGUGUUGUGGAGGAAAAAUUCAGUGGACCCAAGUAGGCCUAAACUUCCCAAAGUAGUAAACUUUGGUCAAGCUAACUGUAUAUAUGAAGAAUAAGAAAAGAGUGUGGAAAAUUCCACUGUAAGGCAAUGGCAGCAGCACAGCUUAAGAAACGUUAACCGCAAAAGAACACCUGUCAAUAACAGGAAAAGCUUGUUUUGCUAUAUUCCAAAUAAGGUAAUGAAGACGAAAGUAUGUGUAAUUUGUCUGUGGUUUUAAGCUUUAAAAAGCUGUGUGCGCUUUGCAUCGAGGAGCAGCUACUUAGAGCUGUUACCGCCCCUGCGCUUGUAAUAAAUAAAGGCGUCUCAGGCUUGGUUCUGAUCCAAACACAAUGCGUGGUUAAAUUUUUCCACCACAAAUCUUGGUGCCGGUGACUCGGAUAGACGGCGACCCUGGGAGCUGGAGGACCGCGAGUUGUUCCCCACCAGACCCCGGGCCCAUUCGAAAAGGUAAGAGACCUUUUGAAAUCUCUGUAUUGGGUUUCUGGUGGAGGACCGCCCGUAGGCUCUGGGCUUGGGUAAGUUGUACGGUCUAUCUGGACUUUUGCUGCCAGACAUGCCUGAUGCCCUUGAGGUGGGUCAGAGUCCCAUCCAAGUUUGGUUUCCCUGGGAAGAGCCACUGAGUGUGGCUGGGCAGGUCGUGGAUAGAUCUGGUUCCUUGUGCCAGUGUGAAAGUGAAGGUUGAUAGACCAGUGUGAAUUGAGUCAGGGACUGGGGGCCGGAGGGUCCUAGGGGAUCCCUGCCUCGCCAGGCCCUGACCUCGGCAGUUUCCCUCUGCAUGGCAUGACUGGCGAGGGGCUUGUCUAGGUCUAGGAGUGUGUGAUCCUAUCCUUUCCAUCCUCAGACAGUCUGUUUCCAUACCCUCUUUCCUCCCCUGUCUCUGGUUUCUGCCUGAAGGCAGUUUGGCAAGCCAUUGACUGGUCUGAUCACCUCUCCUGAAGCAACAGAGUAUGCAGCGCCAACCGACGCUCUUUGCUGAAGGGGGCUGUAAGACAGUCGUGGAGGCCCUAAACAAAAACCUUCCCUGUGUGAGUGUGACAAGUAAAACAUCUGUAGGAUUCUAGGAGCCAGGGGGUCCAAAAGCGAUUCCUGCACUCGCCAGCAAAAGGCAGGGGCCAGUGCGUCAAGAAGGAUCACUGUCCCGCCAAAAGGCACACACUAGUUCACUUGCAAGUUUCUGGAAAAAUUGGAAUUGGUAUACCAAGGAUAGGGAUACUUUAAAGUUAUGGUUUCCGUUGGGGGAAAGUUUCGACCUUGACAAGAUUGUGGACCUCAGAAGUGCCAGUGUCAGUGUGAGGCAUAUUUCUACUGGCAUAAAGUAGAAAAAAAAAACGGCACCAUGAAUCUCAAAUAAGGAGUCUCAGGGACUCCCAGGAGAAACUUACAACACAAUUAAAAGAGAUAAAAAGAAAAUUGGCAAAGAAUUUAAAUCCAACUAAGCCAGCAAGAAAUAUUAAGCAACAGAAGCCCCUUACAUUCACCCCUCAGACAGUGAUUCCCUGUACUGAGGAAAUGUUCCCCUUGCGCCAAUGACCAGACAUUGGUGCUUCUGGUCGUAAGACCGUAGUGUCUGCACAUGCACCUUGGUCUCCUACAAAAUUGUAUAAUUUACUUAAAAAUUUUCCAAAAAUAAGAGAAAUUGCAAAUUGUUACAAACUGUUAUAACCCUACAUGGGCAAAUUUAAACCAGCUUCUAUGAGGGGUCAUGCUAGGGAAACACUGAGUCGCCUUUGUAAAAAAGCUCAGUGGCCCAAGCAAAAUCCAGGCCAUAACCAAAAAAAAAAUAAAAUAAAAUCAGAAAAAGCUGCUAAAUAAAAUUCUCACAGCCUACCCAAAGAAAGCUGACUGGAGCAAAAAUUAGCACCUGUAAACAAAGUAAAAAUAAGAAUUUGAAUAAAACCCAAUACUCUCACCGCCACAUUAAAACUAUGUUAAAUGACCUUCCAGCUCCGGAAUAUACAGGGACCCCGUAAUAGCCACCCAUUGUAGAGGGAGAAGGGGAAGGCCAAACCUAGGCCCCACCGUCCACCUCACCUAGGAACCCAGUGAUGGUGCAUGUUACUAUUGCAAGCAAAUGGGCCAUUGGGUACAGUAAGUGUCCCUACCGCCCAGGUCGAUCCAAAAGCGGUAGGGGUGGGCAAUACUCUUAUUCCCCACCCCAUCUCUUCACCUCUGUCCGUUUCUAUCAGUCCUUUGUUUGACCAUCAUGUUUUCCUUCUCAGUCCUUUUGGAAAAAGACUUGCUGUGUAAAUUAAAUUGUAUAAUCUGCUGUACCCCAAAUGGUGUGUAUCUGGACGUGCCUGAUCCCGCUUACAAUAAGGUCCUGGUAGUUUACAGGAGAAGACCGACCCUAGCCCUUCCUCAUUGCAACAGGAACUUCUGGCUAAGGUCUCUCCCUCCUUGUAAGCCGAUCAUGCCAACCAGGUUGGGUGCAUUGGGUCUGCUCAACCCAUUAAGAUUCACCUAAACCCAGCAAGACCCCUUCCUGAGGUGCAGCACUACCCUCUAUCAAAACAGGCCAAGAAAAAAUCCAACCUGUUCUUACCUCCUGCAUUCAGCAAGGAUUCAUUAUUCCUACGGUCACUGAGUGUAACUCCCCCAUUUUACUAUGCUGUUAAUGCUGCUGUACUCCCUACCUUUCCCAUUGUCCCUAGCCCUGCUACUAUCCUUUCCUGCAAAGCACCGGUGCUGAGGGGUUGUUACCAACUCAAAUAAGAAAAAGGUUGUAUUAAGUCCAAACAUAAAAGGAUUAAGGUUAUUGUUAAAUAAGAUGCAUCUAAAUAUAAAAAAUAAAUGUGUGUGUGUGUGUAUGUAAAUAGGUGUGUAUAAAUAAAUAAAGGGGGGGUUAGUCAAAAAAGCCCACCCUCCUUGCUAAAUUGGUAGUAAAACAAUACCUGUGCCCAUGAAAAAAUGCAACAAAAAAAAAAAGA